GAUGAACGCUGGCGGCGUGCUUAACACAUGCAAGUCGAACGAAGCAUUUAAAACGGAUUUUUUCGGAAUGAAGUUUUUUAUGACUGAGUGGCGGACGGGUGAGUAACGCGUGGGUAACCUGCCUCACACAGGGGGAUAGCAGUUGGAAACGACUGGUAAUACCGCAUAAGCGCACAGCUUCGCAUGAAGCGGUGUGAAAAACUCCGGUGGUGUGAGAUGGACCCGCGUCUGAUUAGGUAGUUGGUGAGGUAACGGCCCACCAAGCCGACGAUCAGUAGCCGACCUGAGAGGGUGACCGGCCACAUUGGGACUGAGACACGGCCCAGACUCCUACGGGAGGCAGCAGUGGGGAAUAUUGCACAAUGGAGGAAACUCUGAUGCAGCGACGCCGCGUGAGUGAAGAAGUAUUUCGGUAUGUAAAGCUCUAUCAGCAGGGAAGACAGUGACGGUAC
rnacentral:rRNA from 1 species